rnacentral:rRNA from 1 species
UUAAGCGACUAAGCGUACACGGUGGAUGCCCUGGCAGUCAGAGGCGAUGAAGGACGUGCUAAUCUGCGAUAAGCGUCGGUAAGGUGAUAUGAACCGUUAUAACCGGCGAUUUCCGAAUGGGGAAACCCAGUGUGUUUCGACACACUAUCAUUAACUGAAUCCAUAGGUUAAUGAGGCGAACCGGGGGAACUGAAACAUCUAAGUACCCCGAGGAAAAGAAAUCAACCGAGAUUCCCCCAGUAGCGGCGAGCGAACGGGGAGCAGCCCAGAGCCUGAAUCAGUGUGUGUGUUAGUGGAAGCGUCUGGAAAGGCGCGCGAUACAGGGUGACAGCCCCGUACACAAAAAUGCACAUACUGUGAGCUCGAUGAGUAGGGCGGGACACGUGGUAUCCUGUCUGAAUAUGGGGGGACCAUCCUCCAAGGCUAAAUACUCCUGACUGACCGAUAGUGAACCAGUACCGUGAGGGAAAGGCGAAAAGAACCCCGGCGAGGGGAGUGAAAAAGAACCUGAAACCGUGUACGUACAAGCAGUGGGAGCACGCUUAGGCGUGUGACUGCGUACCUUUUGUAUAAUGGGUCAGCGACUUAUAUUCUGUAGCAAGGUUAACCGAAUAGGGGAGCCGAAGGGAAACCGAGUCUUAACUGGGCGUUAAGUUGCAGGGUAUAGACCCGAAACCCGGUGAUCUAGCCAUGGGCAGGUUGAAGGUUGGGUAACACUAACUGGAGGACCGAACCGACUAAUGUUGAAAAAUUAGCGGAUGACUUGUGGCUGGGGGUGAAAGGCCAAUCAAACCGGGAGAUAGCUGGUUCUCCCCGAAAGCUAUUUAGGUAGCGCCUCGUGAAUUCAUCUCCGGGGGUAGAGCACUGUUUCGGCAAGGGGGUCAUCCCGACUUACCAACCCGAUGCAAACUGCGAAUACCGGAGAAUGUUAUCACGGGAGACACACGGCGGGUGCUAACGUCCGUCGUGAAGAGGGAAACAACCCAGACCGCCAGCUAAGGUCCCAAAGUCAUGGUUAAGUGGGAAACGAUGUGGGAAGGCCCAGACAGCCAGGAUGUUGGCUUAGAAGCAGCCAUCAUUUAAAGAAAGCGUAAUAGCUCACUGGUCGAGUCGGCCUGCGCGGAAGAUGUAACGGGGCUAAACCAUGCACCGAAGCUGCGGCAGCGACGCUGAUGCGUUGUUGGGUAGGGGAGCGUUCUGUAAGCCUGCGAAGGUGUGCUGUGAGGCAUGCUGGAGGUAUCAGAAGUGCGAAUGCUGACAUAAGUAACGAUAAAGCGGGUGAAAAGCCCGCUCGCCGGAAGACCAAGGGUUCCUGUCCAACGUUAAUCGGGGCAGGGUGAGUCGACCCCUAAGGCGAGGCCGAAAGGCGUAGUCGAUGGGAAACAGGUUAAUAUUCCUGUACUUGGUGUUACUGCGAAGGGGGGACGGAGAAGGCUAUGUUGGCCGGGCGACGGUUGUCCCGGUUUAAGCGUGUAGGCUGGUUUUCCAGGCAAAUCCGGAAAAUCAAGGCUGAGGCGUGAUGACGAGGCACUACGGUGCUGAAGCAACAAAUGCCCUGCUUCCAGGAAAAGCCUCUAAGCAUCAGGUAACAUCAAAUCGUACCCCAAACCGACACAGGUGGUCAGGUAGAGAAUACCAAGGCGCUUGAGAGAACUCGGGUGAAGGAACUAGGCAAAAUGGUGCCGUAACUUCGGGAGAAGGCACGCUGAUAUGUAGGUGAAGUCCCUCGCGGAUGGAGCUGAAAUCAGUCGAAGAUACCAGCUGGCUGCAACUGUUUAUUAAAAACACAGCACUGUGCAAACACGAAAGUGGACGUAUACGGUGUGACGCCUGCCCGGUGCCGGAAGGUUAAUUGAUGGGGUUAGCGCAAGCGAAGCUCUUGAUCGAAGCCCCGGUAAACGGCGGCCGUAACUAUAACGGUCCUAAGGUAGCGAAAUUCCUUGUCGGGU